UACGUAGGCAGCGAGCGUUGUUCGGAAUUACUGGGCGUAAAGAGUGUGUAGGCGGUGCUCUAAGUUCGGUGUGAAAUCUCCUGGCUUAACUGGGAGGGUGCGCCGGAAACUGGGGUGCUCGAGCGUGGGAGAGGAAAGCGGAAUUCCUGGUGUAGCGGUGAAAUGCGUAGAUAUCAGGAGGAACACCUGUGGUGUAGACAGCUUUCUGGACCAUUGCUGACGCUGAGGCACGAAAGCUAGGGGAGCAAACAGG
rnacentral:rRNA from 1 species